GGCAGAGAUAGUGAUUGCAACACGACAAGCGGUAAGCCUUAACCGUUUCUCUGCCAAAUAAAUAAGG
rnacentral:ncRNA from 1 species